GUAAACCCAGUGUGAAAACCAAAGAGAGCUUUUUGUAGCCAGUACACAAGGCACGAUGGAGGGGGACGAGUUCCUCUGCAGCUCUGCUGGCUUCGUGCAGUAGAUGAGUUUUGCUUAUGUCAAUGGUCUAUAGAUGAGCAGCAGGUGGGAGGAAUUCCUCCAAGUGACCUGUAUUAUCCCAGAUGAAUGGUAGAGAGCAUAGGAGGUAAAAGGGAAAGGGGAGGAGUAAAUGUGCCUGUUUGUGGCAUCCUUUACCAACAUGAAAGGCUGCAUUUACUUGGCAAGUGGCAGCUUAUGAUGGAAGCUACCAGCUCCUGAAAGGAGGAGAAUUGGGAAAAUUGAUCCUGGGUAGUAGUCAUCCAACAUCACUGCAUUCCUUCUAUUUCUGUUCUUAAGAAACACUUGGCAUUUUGUGGCUACAUAGCAAGCCUCUGCAUACACCUCCAUGCUCAUCAUCCCCCUGACAUUGGCAGAGGUUGGGCCUGAAGAGCGUGACACCCACAGAGAGAUAUUCUUCUUUGUGCAUCUCACAACACAAGAAACAUUGAGGCACUCAGGAGCACUAAUGGCAGCUCAGCCUAUGAUGAGGAGACAGGAAAAGCUGCUUCAUGCAGAAUGCAAUCAGGCAAUGAAACCCCCACGCUGCUGAGAGGUCAGGGAGCCCAAGCUAUGCUGGACUUAGGGGUGACUCUAGCACUGUAGUUACAAGAACUCAGAGUGCUCAAAGCUCAGGUGAUAAAGGAACAUUAGAGGAAUGAAACCCUCAAAAGGAAUUUUUCUUGCUCUUCCAUCCCCUUUUGCAAAACCAACACUCCUGCAGUGGAGAAAAGACAGCUGCUAUCAGAUCAAAGCAGUUCAGGCUGAGCUUAGGGGUUUCCAAUUGUAAAUAACAACAAUACAUUUAAAUUCUGAGCAGAAUUUAUGACCAAGCUGCACAUAGACACAUUCUCUGACAACUACACAUUACUGCUAGGCCAAUCUCUUGUGGUUCCUGAGGGUUAAGCACUCAUUACCUCGAUGCCUCUAAAUCAGGAAUCAAUCUGAACUUCCUUAGCUAGAGAUGUGAGAUGAACUUGACAAGAGAAGGUUGCAGUGUGCCUUCUGUGGUACUUAAGAGGCUUUAUGGGAAACAUCAGAAUCUUUUUUUUCUUAGAGGUGUUUGGAUAGCUCCGUUCCUUCCUAUCCUGAGGAUACUUCAACUGCAGUUGUGUAGGUUGCCUGUAACAAUCAGAAAGGUCAACACGGUGGAAGGGUAAUGCAGGAGUGCAGUUGCAAAGGAACUAAAGUGAAUGGAAUGGUAUUACAAAGGAAAAGUGCUCACCCAUUGCCAAAGAUCCAGGCUUGCAAGGAAAACUCCCCAAGGGAAGGAUCUCCAGGAACAGAACCUUUCUCAGGUGGCAGUCAGCCCUUAAAUGGGCUCUAAGAGAGGUGCAGCCAGGCUCCACCCCUUCUGGUCACACAGCUGAAUUGCCUUCACCUGUGCUCCCUGGGCUGACCGGGUCCUUUCCCCAGGUGCUUAAUCAGCGGUUCAGGCUGUGACCCAACAGUUCCUAUACAGCCACAUUCUCUUCUUUGCUCACUUUUCACAAGCAGUUGACUUCCUUUCUGAGCAGAUAGCUACUUGUCUCCAAUAACCCGGACAGAGUCAUUGCUCUUGAGCAUCCUGGAGAAAUGGGCAGGGCACGUGAGCAUCCUCUGACAACAAACAAGUACUUCCAUUUGGGUAUCCGUAGCCCCAGAACAUGCCUUUCUUGGAUACAUGGGCUGACUCUGCAAACACAGCACAGCAUCUGCACCUCCAUCUGGGAAGCGAGGGAGAAAUCUGCACUGACAUAUGGAAGUCAAUGUUUUUUAAGUUUCUGACACUGAUAGAUCCACAUCUGAAUUUUCAGUAGCAGUAUCCUUGGCUUGAAG
ensembl:lncRNA